rfam:Populus trichocarpa scaffold_4_contig_158, whole genome shotgun sequence.
UGUGAUAUUGGUGUAAGGAUUAAACAAUGAUAAAACAGAUGUCAAGGUUAAAGGAUUCAGUAAUGGUUCCGACUUCUCCGUUGUUGGUAAUAUUUGAACUUGAAAACGGCAGAAUUGAGUCUUGGACUCUUCAUGAAAGUUUUAGGUCUAUGUCUUAGCUUUCCAUC